UGGGGAAUAUUGGGCAAUGGGCGAAAGCCUUACCCAGCAACGCCGCGUGAGGGAAGAAGGUUUUCGGAUUGUAAACCUCUGUCCUGGGGGACGAAGGAAGUGAGCGCUAGCCCGGGAGGAACGCCCGGCUAACUACGUGCCAGCAGCCGCGGUAAUACGUAGGGGGCGAGCGUUGUCCGGAAUUAUUGGGCGUAAAGGGCGCGUAGACGGCCGAGUAAGUUAUAGGUGAAAGCCCAUCUUUCAAGGAUGGAAUUGCCUGUAAUACUGCCUGGCUUGAGUGCAGGAGAGGGAAGCGGAAUUCCUAGUGUAGCGGUGAAAUGCGUAGAUAUUAGGAGGAACACCAGUGGCGAAGGCGGCUUUCUGGACUGUAACUGACGUUGAGGCGCGAAAGCGUGGGGAGCAAACAGGAUUAGAUACC
rnacentral:rRNA from 1 species